AAAUAUUUAUUUAUUUGAAAGAGUUAGAGAGAGGAAGAGGAGAGAGAGAGAGAGAGAGAGAUUCUACCUACUGGUUCACUCCCCAAAUGGUUGCAAUGGCCAGGGCUGGGCCAGGCUGAAGCCUAGAACCAGGUCUCCCAUGUGGGUGCAAGAACUCAAGCCCUUGGGCCAUCUUCCACCACUUUCCCAGGCACAUUAGCAGGGAGCUGGGUUGGAAGUGGAGCAGCCAGGACUUGAACUGGUGCCCAUAUGGGAUGUUGGCACUGCAGAUGAUGGCUUAAACCUGUGUGCCACAGCAUCAGCCCCAAAGCAAUUGUUUUCUAAGAAGUUCUUUCAGAGUUGCACCAAAAAUAAUCUUUUCAUCCUAUUUUCUACAAACUGUUUGAAAUACCCUCUAAUGCUCAUAUGUUUGCUUUUGACUCCUCACCCUUUUAUUCUGAAUCUCUCAGCAUCUCAGAAUAAGAUUUAAAGAACUGUGACUGUCUGUUAAUUAAGUACUUUAACUACUGAAUUCAACUUGUGAAUCUACCUCCUUCUGGAUAUGAACAGAGCAAAAUAUCUAGCCUUGCCUUGAACUGUUUCCUAUAAUGAAAACCCCUACAAGGACACAUACUGUCCAGAGCUGUCUGGAGCUUGCAAUUAGAAAAGUGUCACACAGCCCCAAGUGUAUUUUUACAUUUUCUAUAGAGUCUUUAAUUGUAUAAGCAAUGAAUAAAACCACCUUGAAAAUAAGUUGCUUCUGAAACCUAUAAGUAGUCUAGUUACCAGUAGUUAAAUAAAAAGUGCGUUCAGAUGUUGAGAAUGCCACUAACUUGCUCCGAUUGUUCACGUGGUCUGUUGUAAUCAUCUUGUUUCCUUUCCCUUCUCUAAUCUGUACAGCAAUUUGAAGCUUUGCAGACUUCAGUCUGGAAAAGAAUCACCUGCAAAGCUUCUUGAACUGCAAAAUCCUGGGAGAUUCUCUUUUGCUAGGUCUAAAUGGCACAGGAGCAUGAAUAUGAAGAGCCCCUGGCAACCGUGAUGCAGUUGGCAUCUCAUCAUCUCACACUGUUAACUCUACAUGUAAAAGUAUCACAUUUCCCUGAAAUGAAAAUCAGGAUCCCAAAGGAGUCAUGACACUUGAUAGAAAUGACAGAAAACUCAAAACGCAAAAUUCUAGAUGACAGUGCUGUCAUUAUCAUGGGAUGUUAUGAGAGUCACAUGAAAAAAGAAGGUACAUGUAAAAUACUUGGUAUACUGACACACAGUAAUAUUGUCAUUACUCAUAUUACUGGAAUAUCAGUUAUUAUAUCACACAUAGCAAAUAGGGUAUU